AACGAACGCUGGCGGCAUGCCUAACACAUGCAAGUCGAACGAGAUCUUCGGGUCUAGUGGCGCACGGGUGCGUAACGCGUGGGAAUCUGCCCUUUGGUUCGGAAUAACAGUUGGAAACGACUGCUAAUACCGGAUGAUGACGAAAGUCCAAAGAUUUAUCGCCAGAGGAUGAGCCCGCGUAGGAUUAGCUAGUUGGGGUGGUAAAGGCGCACCAAGGCGACGUUCCUUAGCUGGUCUGAGAGGAUGAUCAGCCACACUGGGACUGAGACACGGACCAGACUCCUACGGGAGGCAGCAGUGGGGAAUAUUGGACAAUGGGCGAAAGCCUGAUCCAGCAAUGCCGCGUGAGUGAUGAAGGCCUUAGGGUUGUAAAGCUCUUUUACCCGGGAUGAUAAUGACAGUACCGGGAGAAUAAGCUCCGGCUAACUCCGUGCCAGCAGCCGCAGUAA
rnacentral:rRNA from 1 species